AGGGGCAUCCGGUGGAUCAAGUUGUUUGACAGGUAGAGAUAACUCAUACUGUUGAGUUCGAAUUAGCGCACUUAUGGAGUGCUGUCCAGCAAGCUGCCGAGGCAUGUUGCGAACGAAAGAGGAAUCAAGGUUGAUCCUGCAAAAAAAAAAAAAAAAAAAAAGAGUAGUAGGAACCUCUGAUUCUGAUACCUUCCGGGGAAGAAACGACUGCUAAUCUGGUAC
rnacentral:lncRNA from 1 species